rnacentral:lncRNA from 1 species
ACAAAUAAAUACAAGUAGUAUUUAGCCUACUGUAGGCCUUCAAGAAAUGCCAGUUUUGACAAUGAUGAUGAUGAUGAAGUUUCUUUUAAUGCAAGGACACUAUUAAAACUCUUCAUUGCUACUACUGUUAAUUGUUAAAAUCAGCUUUAAUUUUUAAAUAAUAUAUAUUUCAGCAAUCUACCAAUUAUAUUUAUAUGAAUACAUACUAUAAAGUAUGCUUUUAAUUAAUCAGAAUCAAAUUAAUUUAAUUAAAAUCCACAUUAAUUUGCCCAUCAACUUACAAAAAGAACAGGAGGCUUUUUAUGCUUGAUUUUAAAAGGAAAAUGAAAAACAAUGACAGAAGGAUAAAAAAAUGGAUUUUUUUCAAAAAGUUCAUAACACUUGUAGGGUCAGAUUCUAUACUUGAUCCCAACAAAAUGAUUUACGUUAUAAAUUCACAUUAUGAACAUUAUAAGGUUUUUGAAAGGAUUACUUUUUGGUAAUAGCAAAACCCAAGUUGUCAAAGAAGGAUGAUAGGUUAAUAUACAUCCCUUGAUAAUACAUUUUGGUUGUAUUUUUCAAUAGCAUGUGUUAAUAAAUUAUUUUUC